rnacentral:rRNA from 1 species
UACGUAGGGUGCAAGCGUUGUCCGGAAUUAUUGGGCGUAAAGAGCUCGUAGGCGGUUUGUCGCGUCUGCUGUGAAAACCCGAGGCUCAACCUCGGGCCUGCAGUGGGUACGGGCAGACUAGAGUGCGGUAGGGGAGAAUGGAAUUCCUGGUGUAGCGGUGGAAUGCGCAGAUAUCAGGAGGAACACGAUGGCGAAGGCAGUUCUCUGGGCCGUAACUGACGCUGAGGAGCGAAAGCGUGGGGAGCGAACAGG